rnacentral:tRNA from 1 species
GGGCUUGUAGUAUAGUGGUAAUACGCUGCAUUCGCAUUGCAGAGACGCGAGUCCGAUUCUCGCCAAGUCCACCA